rnacentral:lncRNA from 1 species
AUACGAAGUCCAGGACGCUAGCUCCAGUGUUGAUUUCCAAUAAAAGAAGAAAGAAAGGAAGAACAAGACUAUGUACCCUACUCCUUGGGGCAUAAAAAAGAAAGUGCUGUAUGAAAAACACUUAAAUAUCUCAAAAGUAUCGCCAUUGUUAAGAUCAUUCUGAUACUUGGGUACCUCAAAGGAGUGAUUAAGUAUGCGGAGUGGAGGGAGAUGAGAUGAAUCUAAGAAGUAAACAUUUGUGAAGCAUCUCCAUUCUGUCUGGAAUAAUGCGUGAAGUGGAGGGGAUAGUGGAACAUCUAACAAGCUUAACGUUGAUGUACUAGAUUAGACAUACUUGCUAUGUCCCUGCUAAUCCACCAUGAAGGUGCAGCUUCCAUCCUCUUAAAGCUCAGCUUACUAAAUGAUUUGUCUGACCAAGGAGUGAAGUCCAGGUGGAAGGCCUGGAGGCAG